AAUAAACAAAAAUAACAAUUGGGCUAAGGGUCAAGUUGGUAAUUUUCCUUACAUCCCCCCCCCCCCCCCCAAGGUAUCAGACAUGCCCCCAAAAUAAAGGGCCUUGCAUACUAGAAGACAAGCACCUAUACCUAACAAGAUUAGGUGAAUACCCAAAAUUAUGGUCAUUUUAUUUCUAUCCUUCCA
rfam:Citrus clementina cultivar Clemenules unplaced genomic scaffold scaffold_9, whole genome shotgun sequence.